ACAGUUUGACGGUCCGCCACCUUUCCUCCGGGAGAGGUUGGUGUCGACACGUUCUUACACCCCUUGUGAAAUCAACCCCGGUGCUUCGGUGGCAGGCUCCCUCCCGUUCAGCGGGCGGGGAACCAUAGGCCCACCGGCCGUAAACCAUUGUGAUAUUUUUGCAGAGUCUUUGACCAAUUUCGUUUGAAAUAACAAGUUA
rnacentral:misc_RNA from 1 species